rnacentral:rRNA from 1 species
AGGGCACCACCAGGAGUGGAGCCUGCGGCUUAAUUUGACUCAACACGGGGAAACUCACCCGGCCCGGACACCGUAAGGAUUGACAGAUUGAUAGCUCUUUCAUGAUUCGGUGGUUGGUGGUGCAUGGCCGUUCUUAGUUCGUGGAUCGAUUUGUCUGGUUUAUUCCGAUAACGAGCGAGACUCUAGCCUACUAAAUAGUAACGAGAUUAUCAUUGUCUCAGUUGCUUCUUAGAGGGAUUUUCGGUGUUUAGCCGCACGAGAUUGAGCAAUAACAGGUCUGUGAUGCCCUUAGAUGUCCGGGGCUGCACGCGCGCUACACUGGCGAAAUCAGCGUGCUGUAUCCAUUCUCGAAAGGGAUUGGUAAACCCAUGAAAAUUUGCCGUGCUUGGGAUCGGAAAUUGCAAUUAUUUUCCGUGAACGAGGAAUUCCAAGUAAGUGCGAGUCAUCAACUCGCUCUGAUUACGUCCCUGCCCUUUGUACACACCGCCCGUCGCUGCCCGGGACUGAGCCAUUUCGAGA